CACACACACACACACGCUCACACACACUUCCAUAUCCCAGAAGAUUCCCUCCAUAUGAUCAGAAGCAUAUAUAGACUUAAUUCAUCUCAGUCCCUGUUGCUGCAAAAUGUGGAUUAAGCUAACCAAGUGAAUGUCAUGAUACUAUAUUUUUUAUUUGUGAUAUUUAUUUGAAGAUGAUUUAUUUGAAGAGGACAAAAGUGAGGAGAACACUGGAUUAUGGCAUUGGCCGAGUGGGAGAUUUCGUAUGGAUUCACAAUGAUCCAGAAACCUGAGUGGAAUCUCUGUGGGUCGUAUUUGGAUCUCAAGGACAGAAAAUGAUCCCAACAGUGAAAACUCUAUCUUGUAUGUGCUCGAGGACUCCUGUUGUGAGAUAAAAAAAAAAAGAUAUUUUUGAUUUUAAAACAAAUACCACAUUAUAAAAAAAAAGAAAAAAAAGAAACAACAUACUGGAUAAGAGAAAACAAAACUGAACGCAUUCCCUCACAAAACACUCCAGGACUUCAUGGAAGUGACAGGAUUGAUCUUCAAUGUGCUUGUCUGCAUUUAUCCAUAGUAUUCGCCAACUAAUUGGAAGCAAAAGACUUCUCUCCAUCCAAUGGUAGCUAUUCCCACAGACAUGAUUCCUGAACUGUGAGUGCUUUUGUCGUCUUAUCUUAAAAAAAGAAAAGAAAAAAAAGAAAACGAGAAGGGAACAUAAGGAAAACCAAUCAACCAAUCAAAACCAUUCAUCUCCAUCCUCACCUAUAGCUCAGCCAAUCGACUUGCAUCUGCCCCUUUCCCUUCAUUCCAGCCACACCCACAUAAAUGGUGCCUGUUUGUCUCCUCUGGUUGUAUUGUUAUGAUGUUGCAAUGUAUUAUAAUAAUCUAUCUCCCACUGAUCCUCUCUCAGACUGAAAGGCACUGCUUUAUCGUCGGGCUUCCUUGCAGUGUAAUUAUGCAACUGAUCCAGGAUCAUUUCAGAGCAGGAGAAGAAACUCACUAGCCGCACUUUUGGGAGUUUUGGGAUCCUUCUUCUCCUUGCUGUAGCUAGUGCAUCAUAACAUUAACUAGUACUCUGACGUUUUUCCCAGAGCGAUCUGGCUCUGUUUUUGUUGUGCUUUUUUUUUUUUUUUGGAGGGGUGGGGAACUUUUGUUUAGAUCUCUGUUGAUUUGUGUGUUGUAUAUUUGUUUAUUUAUUUUAUUUAUUUGUCCUCUCAUGCCCUCAUUUGUGUAUGUACUUUAUGUAACAUAUUUAUUUACUGUUAGCACAAAUGUUAUCUUAUACAGACAAAAAAAAAAAAUCACAUUGGAAAUUCUGACACUGGUUUGGAAGUGAAGUAGAAGAUGGGCAUCUCAUGUCUCUCAAUGUCCCAUGCUUCCCCCAGAGUUCAUCAGACAGCACUGUUCUUGUGCAUAGUUGUGUAGACUCUAUGUGUAUGUGUGUGUGUGUGUGUGUGUGUGUGUGUGUGUGUGUGUGUGUGUGUGUGCGUGCGCGCGUGCCUGUGUGUGUGCAUGUGAAACUUGCACGUGUAUGCACAUUUGAGAGGCACCAUGCGCAAGCUAGGCAGAUAUAGUGCAUGUUGUUUUGGGAAAAAGAGUUGCCGUGAAGAGUCUCAUUAUUUUCUGUAUGUCGUUGAGGGGGAAACGGUCUAGUCCAUUGCACAGCUCACCAGCACAUACCUGAAGCUGAUGAUGUUAGUCCCUACGUGCCCACCACUAGUCACUAGUCACUUUCUAUAUUUGUCCGUCCCUUUUUUUUUUCUUUUGUGCUUUUAAAGCCGCUCCAUUGCAUUUUCACUUGCCUCUCAGUCCACCCUCACCAGUUUCCUACCUGCUAUUACAUCACAUAUGGUUUGCCUUUCUAAGAAAAGACAUUGUGUCAUUGCCAUGUCGUCAUCCUCAUUGCCUGUCAUUCUUGUGAAGAUUGUAAGCUGUACUACAUCCUUGUGUCAGAAACAGAGCAAGGUUUUCCUUUUUAAUGUCGAAAGGGUGAGAACAAAGAACAAAAAUGAAAAAGAGACAUCUGUAUCAUAAUUUAGGUAUAACAGUGCACUAUUA
ensembl:lncRNA